UACGUAGGGGGCUAGCGUUGUCCGGAAUCAUUGGGCGUAAAGAGCGUGUAGGCGGUCCGGUAAGUCCGCUGUGAAAGUCGGGGGCUCAACCCUCGAAUGCCGGUGGAUACUGUCGGGCUAGAGUGCGGAAGAGGCGAGUGGAAUUCCUGGUGUAGCGGUGAAAUGCGCAGAUAUCAGGAGGAACACCGGUGGUGUAGACGGCUCUCUGGACCGCAACUGACGCUGAGACACGAAAGCGUGGGUAGCAAACAGG
rnacentral:rRNA from 1 species